GUCCACGCCGUAAACGUUGUGCGCUAGGUGUAGGAGGUAUCGACCCCUCCUGUGCCGCAGCUAACGCAUUAAGCGCACCGCCUGGGGAGUACGCCCGCAAGGGUGAAACUCAAAGGAAUUGACGGGGGCCCGCACAAGCGGUGGAGCAUGUGGUUUAAUUCGAGGCAACGCGAAGAACCUUACCCAGGCUUGACAUCCUCUGACAGCCCGUGAAAGCGGGUUUCCCCUUCGGGGGCAGGGAGACAGGUGUUGCAUGGCUGUCGU
rnacentral:rRNA from 1 species